rnacentral:rRNA from 1 species
CUAUCUUGCGCGCGAGCCAAUAGUCGUCCUCCGGAGCACCAUAGGCGCAGAAAACAUAACUUGAGUUGUGCGGGAUUACGGGCGCGGCUCUCUGCUCGUCCAUCCAUCCCCGGGUGUUGUAAUCGGCAUGCGGCUACCGGGACCCAGGCUUCACGGCCCCCGGCAUCGUGCCUCAACAUACCGUGAGUGUGCAGGAUGUGACCCGAAAGAUGGUGAACUAUGCCUGAUCAGGUUGAAGUCAGGGGAAACCCUGAUGGAGGACCGAAGCAGUUCUGACGUGCAAAUCGAUUGUCAGAAUUGGGCAUAGGGGCGAAAGACCAAUCGAACCAUCUAGUAGCUGG